rnacentral:rRNA from 1 species
UACGUAGGGUGCGAGCGUUAAUCGGAAUUCCUGGGCGUAAAGCGUGCGCAGGCGGUUUUGUAAGCCAGAUGUGAAAUCCCCGGGCUUAACCUGGGAAUGGCAUUUGGGACUGCAAGGCUGGAGUGUGGCAGAGGAGACUGGAAUUCCCGGUGUAGCAGUGAAAUGCGUAGAUAUCGGGAGGAAUACCGAUGGCGAAGGCAGGUCUCUGGGCUGACACUGACGCUCAUGCACGAAAGCGUGGGGAGCAAACAGG